GCUUACGGCUAUACCACUCUGAGAACGCUCGAUCUCGUCUGAUCUCGGAAGCUAAGCAGGGUCGGGCCUGAAUAGUACUUGGAUGGGAGACCGCCUGGGAAUUCCAGGUGCAAUAAGCU